rnacentral:rRNA from 1 species
GAUGAACGCUGGCGGCGUGCCUAAUACAUGCAAGUCGAGCGAACAGACGAGGAGCUUGCUCCUCUGACGUUAGCGGCGGACGGGUGAGUAACACGUGGAUAACCUACCUAUAAGACUGGGAUAACUUCGGGAAACCGGAGCUAAUACCGGAUAAUAUAUUGAACCGCAGGGUUCAAUAGUGAAAGACGGUUUUGCUGUCACUUAUAGAUGGAUCCGCGCCGCAUUAGCUAGUUGGUAAGGUAACGGCUUACCAAGGCAACGAUGCGUAGCCGACCUGAGAGGGUGAUCGGCCCCACUGGAACUGAGACACGGUCAGACUCCUACGGGAGGCAGCAGUAGGGAAUCUUCCGCAAUGGGCGAAAGCCUGACGGAGCAACGCCGCGUGAGUGAUGAAGGUCUUCGGAUCGUAAAACUCUGUUAUUAGGGAAGAACAAAUGUGUAAGUAACUAUGCACGUCUUGACGGUACCUAAUCAGAAAGCCACGGCUAACUACGUG